rnacentral:lncRNA from 1 species
GACGACCGCGGUGAGCCCGCUGGCGCCCAUCGGCUGGGACCCCGGCUGGAGACUAGUUACCGUGACAGUCGAUACGUCGCCGGAUCUGGCAGCGCGGUGUCACGCCCCUGGCCACCGGAAGGUCACCGGCGACGUGAGCCACACCAAUUCGGCGACGAAGCGCCAGGAGCACAGACGCAACUCGAAGCACGAAGGUAAGAAAACUUCUAUUCAGUUCUGUAUUUUUUCUCCCCUCGUUCCAAUGACAGGUUACAGUAUAUAUUGCCUGGUCUAUUGGGCCGGCCCACUCACUGAUCCCUGACUUAACAGCCCAAUUACUUAUACACAAAUCUUGGCUUGAAAGCCCAUCACACCAUUACAGAAUCUCUAUACACUAAUAGCUUCUACUUCCUCGUCAGCGACCAUAGCAGUCAUGACAUCUUCCCCUGCUGCAAAACUUGCUUGCCCUCAAGCAAGAGCAUGUGGAAAUUUCUCCUUAAGCACAUAGCCUUCAGUUGUAUCCAAGCAGCCCUCACUAAAUCCACAAUCCCGUUGAGCACCAGUACAACCAAUACCAUAUUGUUAUACUCAUAUCGUGCUGUACAGGGAAAACAACCCCCAAUUUUCCACAGUCGAGGAUGAUCCUGGAUAGCAAACAAGUAUUGCUGCUCUUCUUUCUCUUGCUCAGUAACUGACCACUGCUCUCCGAACUGCUCCACCAUAGUUUGCAGACCGAUCCACCAUGCUUCCGCUGCGCUUACAGAACACUCCCACACCAUUGAAUCAUGAAAGCUUCGAAUCAAUUUAGUGCUGAAUGUUGAGCUCCUGCCCACCCAAAAUGGAGGAAGUCUUCUAGUCUUGUCCUUCUGCACUGAGAACACAUUCCCAUAUGGAAUGUAAAUGGUCACUCUCGGCCACAAAUCCUGAACAAAAGCAUCAGUCGCUAUAUUCUCCUUGCCUCUAUCAUACACCAUUCUGAACUGUAAGCCCAUUAAUUUGUUCAUGAAUUUUUGUUGAGUGUAUGGCUGAGACUGAACUGCCAUAGCACCGUUUCCUGGGCUAAAACCAGUUAGCCACCAUUGUGUCAGUUCAGAUAUCCCAUGUCGAAAACUACCUUUGUUUUGCCUCCCCUCAAAGAUCAACACAUUCUUGCAUUCCAAUCUCACCUCUUGCCCGGUACAUGCUUCAUAUAGAACAAGCAUGAAAUUAUCCUUAGUAAAGGGUGCUGCCCAGUUGGAUACAUGAGCAAAUGAGCCAUUUAGAAUAGCUUGAUCUCCGCACUGGUUAGAACAAAUGAAAAUAAACUGGUCUGCAUCCUGCCUACCAAAUGAGGACACUGGUAUACCAUUUAUCCAGGCGAUUCCAAGCGCAACCAAGCUUCUGUAGGAGAUUUCUGGUGCAAGAUGUUUUAAAACCUGUGCUGCCCAUUUUUGCAUGGUUAUCCAUACUUCAAAAGUAGAAGCUUCGCAAGCCACACCCAUGGAUGGCCAAGGCUCAAAUGAAGAUGGCUUGAUAUCCUCAUUAUUCAAUAGAACACAAACUAACUGCCUCUUCUCAAUAAUUUCAUUCUUGAUACGGCUCCCUAGAAGCUGAUCACCAAAACAAGUUUGGGCACUGCCAGAAACAAAAUACGCCACAUGUGCAGAACUGCAAGUUGUGAUUUCGCAGCGCAUUGUAGCAACUCCAUGUGAAAGAUCUUCAGCUUGAAGGGGUGGAUGAGCACUGGCUCGGUUCUGAAGUUUACUCGCACAAAUCUCAAUAUUCAAGAGUGCAUUCAAGCCAUCUUUUAGUGUGCCCAAUAAACAUGCAUCUAGGGUGCAUGGUACUCCACAGAGAAGAAAUUCCAGGUUCAUGUCUUCAUCAUGUAUUCUUAUAGCUGAAAAACCUUCAAAACAGCCUUCUUCCUCAUCCACUUCAUCUGUCAUAACCUCAAGUAUGUCGCUACCCACAACCUCUUCUUCAUGAUCAUCAACCCCAGCGACGCCUACAAUCUCGCCUGCACCAUUAGUUUCAUUGAUUGAUUCUGGAGCCAAUUCUUGAGAAAGGAUACCGCCAGCACUAGUAGCAUCAACAUUUUUAGCAUCCUGCUUAGGGUCAUCCUCAAGCACACUGACCACACUAGCAGGAAUAAACUCAUCCCUGUUUCCUCCAUUCAUAACCACGGCGGUUGCCUCAUCUUCAACGUCACCCUCCUUCUUAGCUGAUUCUUUUAAGGCUUCUUCACCUUGAGCAAGCUGCUGCAGUAAUCCUUCAUGCGUGUGAGUUUCAGCUUGCAUCUCCCCAUCCCAUGCCACUGGAAGACCCAUUUCACUGGACAUUGAGUAUGUACUUACUUGCUGUGACAUUCCAACAAACAACCAUGGGGCAUCAGGCACAGCAUCCUGCUUGCAAUCGUUGGGCAUCUGGUUCCCCACUCCAUGAGCUAGACGCUGACAAAAACCAAGUGAAUCGGAACCAAGUAACACUUCUUCAUCCCAGAUCACCUUCUCAGCAGAUGUUUCAUCGAACGCUGAAUAACCAGAACCUCCAAAGCACCUUGGAAGGGCAAUGACCUCCUCACUGCAGUAGGGGGGCAUUUCAUCGAACACAGGAGGGGCCAUACCUCCAAGCAGAACUGGGAUGUUCCGCCCAGCUGCUUCCACGUUGCACGUAUGAUCGUGCAUACCCUUCUGCUUCACCUCCAUCGCCUCCAACCUACUGUCGAGGCGACCCAGGACCCGCAUCACCUUGUCCCAUCGUUCCUCGCCCUUCUGCUCCGAUGUCGGCAUCGCAGCGAGCAGGAUGCUUGUCUGAGCGGACGGCAUCACCAACGGCGUUGUAGCGAGGAAACGCCGCAGAUCGUCGAUGGAGAACGAAGCCUGCGCCGACGACCCAGCCGAGUGAACGACACCCAAGCAACCCGUCGAACAGGUUGCAGGCUCUGUUUCUCUCGCCACCACCCCACGCUUCCACUUUGCCGCCAGGAACACCAAGCCUCCGCCACCGCCGAGGACCAGAGCUUUGAUACCACUUGUCACGCCCCUGGCCACCGGAAGGUCACCGGCGACGUGAGCCACACCAAUUCGGCGACGAAGCGCCAGGAGCACAGACGCAACUCGAAGCACGAAGGUAAGAAAACUUCUAUUCAGUUCUGUAUUUUUUCUCCCC